rnacentral:rRNA from 1 species
UACGUAGGGUGCGAGCGUUGUCCGGAAUUAUUGGGCGUAAAGGGCUCGUAGGCGGUUUGUCGCGUCUGCUGUGAAAAAUCCGAGGCUCAACCUCGGACUUGCAGUGGGGUACGGGGCAGACUAGAGUGUGGUAGGGGGAGACUGGAAUUCCUGGUGUAGCGGUGGAAUGCGCAGAUAUCAGGAGGAACACCCGAUGCGAAAGGC